UGCGUAGGUGGCGCCGUAAGUCAGGUGUGAAAUUUCGGAGCUUAACUCCGAAACUGCAUUUGAUACUGCGGUGCUUGAGGACUGGAGAGGAGACUGGAAUUCACGGUGUAGCAGUGAAAUGCGUAGAUAUCGUGAGGAAGACCAGUGGCGAAGGCGGGUCUCUGGACAGUUCCUGACACUGAGGCACCGAAGGGGCCAGGGGAGGCAAACG
rnacentral:rRNA from 1 species